GACGAACGCUGGCGGCGUGCUUAACACAUGCAAGUCGAGCGGUAAGGCCUUUCGGGGUACACGAGCGGCGAACGGGUGAGUAACACGUGGGUGAUCUGCCCUGCACUCUGGGAUAAGCCUGGGAAACUGGGCCUAAUACCGGAUAUGACUACAUGCUGCAUGGUGUGUGGUGGAAAGAUUUAUCGGUGCAGGAUGGGCCCGCGGCCUAUCAGCUUGUUGGUGGGGUAAUGGCCUACCAAGGCGACGACGGGUAGCCGACCUGAGAGGGUGACCGGCCACACUGGGACUGAGACACGGCCCAGACUCCUACGGGAGGCAGCAGUGGGGAAUAUUGCACAAUGGGCGGAAGCCUGAUGCAGCGACGCCGCGUGAGGGAUGAAGGCCUUCGGGUUGUAAACCUCUUUCAGCAGGGACGAAGCGUGAGUGACGGUACCUGCAGAAGAAGCACCGGCUAACUACGUGCCAGCAGCCGCAGUAACAC
rnacentral:rRNA from 1 species